UGGGGAAUAUUGCACAAUGGGCGCAAGCCUGAUGCAGCCAUGCCGCGUGUGUGAAGAAGGCCUUCGGGUUGUAAAGCUCUUUCAGCGGGGAGGAAGGCGUUAAGGUUAAUAACCUUGGCGAUUGACGUUACCCGCAGAAGAAGCACCGGCUAACUCCGUGCCAGCAGCCGCGGUAAUACGGAGGGUGCAAGCGUUAAUCGGAAUUACUGGGCGUAAAGCGCACGCAGGCGGUCUGUCAAGUCGGAUGUGAAAUCCCCGGGCUCAACCUGGGAAGUGCAUUCGAAACUGGCAGGCUAGAGUCUUGUAGAGGGGGGUAGAAUUCCAGGUGUAGCGGUGAAAUGCGUAGAGAUCUGGAGGAAUACCGGUGGCGGAGGCGGCCCCCUGGACAAAGACUGACGCUCAGGUGCGAAAGCGUGGGGAGCAAACAGG
rnacentral:rRNA from 1 species